UCGAGAAUUUUUCACAAUGGACGAAAGUCUGACGGAGCGACGCCGCGUGGAUGAAGAAGGCCGCAAGGUUGUAAAAUCCUUUUGCUGGGGAAGAAUAAGCGCAGGAGGGAAUGCCUGCGUGAUGACAUGAACCGGCGAAUAAGCUCCGGCCAACUACGUGCCAGCAGCCGCGGUAACACGUAGGGGGCAAGCGUUGUUCGGAAUUACUGGGCGUAAAGGGCAUGUAGGCGGUUUAGUAAGCUUGGCGUGAAAGACCACGGCUUAACUGUGGGGUUGCGUUGAGAACUGCUGAACUUGAGUUACGGAGAGGGAGCUAGAAUUCCUGGUGUAGGGGUGGAAUCUGUAGAGAUCAGGAAGAAUACCGAUGGCGAAGGCAAGCUUCUGGCCGAUAACUGACGCUGAGGUGCGAAAGUGUGGGGAUCAAACA
rnacentral:rRNA from 1 species